rnacentral:tRNA from 1 species
GCCUUCGUGGUGUAAUGGUCAGCACACUCGGCGCGUAUUCCAGAAGUCCGAGGUUCGAGUCCCGGUGAGGGCA